AAUAUUUGUGACUGUAUAAAACAAAAAGACAGUGCUUGAAUCCAGUCUUCUUCUCACUGGUUGAGACAACAGGCAAAUUUUAAAACCGUUGCCUCCAGCUGCCAUGAGCAGGGUAGCCAGCAAUAAAUAGUUUGUCUGUGUAGCAGAAAUGUUAAGUCAUGGCUUGAAACAGUGAUUGAGCACCUGGGAGGACGCCAGGACCAACCCAGGCGAGCUCAAAUCUAUGCAAUGCCGGAUUCACUCUUUCAUAGACCUUAUUCAAGGGUUGGCAGUGGAGGCAGGGGUAUUUCUCUGGAGAUCCCUGCAUACCUGAAGCUUUCUGAAGGCUGCCUAGAGAUGUUGUGGAGCCUCUUCAGGAGAUAAUCAAGACCCACCUGAAUGCCUGCUUGUCUGACUGCCACAGGGAACCUGCUUUAGCAGAGGUGCAGGACUCUACAGUUGCUCUUCUCAAACCUCAUCUGGUUUCUUACUGCCCAGCUCUCCAGUCUGUCCAGAUCUUGCUGAAUAGCAGCACAACCUCUGGCAUGUCAACCACUUCUCCCAGCUUUGUGUCAGCGUAAUUGCUCACAGUGGAUGCUACACCCUCAUCAAGGUCAUCAAUGAAGAUACUGAACAAGUCUGGACCCAGCACUGACCCCUGAGGAACACCACUAGUUACAGGUCUCCAACCGGACUCUGCACUGCUGAUUGCCACCCUCUGAGCUCAUCAGCCAGUUCUCAACCCACCUUGCUAUCCAUACAUCUUUCCCACACUUUCUUAGCUUUGUUAUGAGGAUGUCACGGGGGACAUUAUCAAAAGCCUUGCUGAAGUCAAGGUAGACCACAUCUAUUGCUCUCCCCCUAUCUACCCAGCUGGUGAUGACAUCAUAGAAGACUACAAGGUUGAUUAAGCACGAUUUUCCCUUCGUGAGUCCAUGCUGACCAUUCCUGAUGACCUUCUUCUCUUCCGAUUGCUUGGAGAUGCCAUCCAGAACAAGCUGUUACAUCACCUUUCCAGGGAAAGAGGUGAGAAUGACUGGCCUGUAAUUCCCCGGAUUCUCCUUCUGGCCCUUUCUGAAGACUGUAGUGACACUGGCUAUCCUCCAGUCUUCAGGCACCUCUCCUGUACUCCAACACCUGUCAAAGAUGAUAGAGAGCGGUUCUGCAAUCACCUCUGCCAGCUCCCUCAGCACAUAUGGGUGUAUGAAAUCAGAUCCCAUGGCUUUGUGCACACUGAUGCUCCACAUUUCACAUAGAGAACAGAAGUCCCUUUAGAGGUACAAAAUGUACCUGACACCAGAUACAGCAUCAAAAUAUAUAUUUUAAAGCUAGAAACAGAAUUAUUGUGAAAGUACUAGUAAUUUCUUUGCAUGCUGCUUUGGCCAGGAAAAAAAAAAAAAAAAAAAAAAAAAAGAAAA